AACGCACCUUGCGCUCCUGGGCUAUUCCUAGGAGCAUGCCUGUUUGAGUGUCGUGAAAUCAUCAACCCCAGUUGGAUUUGAAAUUUGACUGGUGGCUUGGACUUGGGGGUUUGCUGGCCGUUUCGAUUCGGUCUGGCUCCCCUUGAAUGUAUUAGCUUGGACUUGUUCCUAAGGCUUCAUGGCGUGAUAAUUAUCUACGCUUGGUUGUCUUUGGAACGUUGUGGUCUGGCUUCUAAUCGUCCUCUCUGGACAAUAUUUCAAUCUUUGACCUCAAAUCAGGUAGGACUACCCGCUGAACUUAA
rnacentral:rRNA from 1 species